AUUGAACGUUGGCGGCAGGCCUAACACAUGCAAGUCGAGCGGAUGAAGGGAGCUUGCUCCUGGAUUCAGCGGCGGACGGGUGAGUAAUGCCUAGGAAUCUGCCUGGUAGUGGGGGAUAACGUCCGGAAACGGGCGCUAAUACCGCAUACGUCCUGAGGGAGAAAGUGGGGGAUCUUCGGACCUCACGCUAUCAGAUGAGCCUAGGUCGGAUUAGCUAGUUGGGGGGGUAAAGGCCUACCAAGGCGACGAUCCGUAACUGGUCUGAGAGGAUGAUCAGUCACACUGGAACUGAGACACGGUCCAGACUCCUACGGGAGGCAGCAGUGGGGAAUAUUGGACAAUGGGCGAAAGCCUGAUCCAGCCAUGCCGCGUGUGUGAAGAAGGUCUUCGGAUUGUAAAGCACUUUAAGUUGGGAGGAAGGGCAGUAAGUUAAUACCUUGCUGUUUUGACGUUACCAACAGAAUAAGCACCGGCUAACUUCGUG
rnacentral:rRNA from 1 species